AACGAACGCUGGCGGCAGGCUUAACACAUGCAAGUCGAACGGGUGUAGCAAUACAUCAGUGGCAGACGGGUGAGUAACACGUGGGAACCUUCCUAGGGGUACGGAACAACUCAGGGAAACUUGAGCUAAUACCGUAUACGUCCGUGAGGAGAAAGAUUUAUCGCCCUUAGACGGGCCCGCGUCGGAUUAGCUAGUUGGUGGGGUAACGGCCUACCAAGGCGACGAUCCGUAGCUGAUCUUAGAGGAUGAUUAGCCACACUGGGACUGAGACACGGCCCAGACUCCUACGGGAGGCAGCAGUGGGGAAUCUUGGACAAUGGGCGCAAGCCUGAUCCAGCCAUGCCGCGUGAGUGAAGAAGGUCUUCGGAUUGUAAAGCUCUUUUGCCAGGGACGAUAAUGACGGUACCUGGAGAAUAAGCCCCGGCAAACUUCGUGCCAGCAGCCGCCGCGG
rnacentral:rRNA from 1 species